rnacentral:rRNA from 1 species
GAUGAACGCUAGCUACAGGCUUAACACAUGCAAGUCGAGGGGCAGCGGGAUUGAAGCUUGCUUCAAUUGCCGGCGACCGGCGCACGGGUGAGUAGCGCGUAUCCAACCUUCCGUACACUCAGGGAUAGCCUUUCGAAAGAAAGAUUAAUACCUGAUGGUAUGAUGAGAUUGCAUGAUAGCAUCAUUAAAGAUUUAUCGGUGUACGAUGGGGAUGCGUUCCAUUAGGUAGUAGGCGGGGUAACGGCCCACCUAGCCAACGAUGGAUAGGGGUUCUGAGAGGAAGGUCCCCCACAUUGGAACUGAGACACGGUCCAAACUCCUACGGGAGGCAGCAGUGAGGAAUAUUGGUCAAUGGACGAGAGUCUGAACCAGCCAAGUAGCGUGAAGGAUGAAGGUCCUACGGAUUGUAAACUUCUUUAUAAGGGAUAAACCCUCCACGUGUGGGAGCUUGUAUGUACCUUAUGAAUAAGCAUCGGCUAACUCCGUGCCAG